rnacentral:precursor_RNA from 1 species
UUUGUGACCGCCAUAAUGGGCAUUUCUUACAAUUCACUACAAUGCUCGUUAUCACGUUCGCAAUU